rnacentral:lncRNA from 1 species
CUCUUUAACUAGAAGACUAACAACUUAAAGCUUUAUCCCUGUGAGUACUAGAAAAGUGAUCUGAGUAUUUAUUAAACAGAGAGAACAAACUGCCUACUUCAGGCAGGGAGGAAGCGUAUGGAAAUUAUAUUAGAACUUCAGCAAAGUGCAGAGCUGCAUAAUACAGAAGUUGGGACUCAAAUUGACAGGCUAAUAAGCCAGCUCACUGAAGGGGGCUCUGUGUGGCAGCUCUGAGCUACUAAGUGUUGGACAACUGUAGGCAAAAUGUGAAAUGGAACAGGGCAGAAAAUAACACACUAACUUCAGGCAAUGGUGCUUUCUCGUGGUCUUCAGGGAUUUUACAUUCUGUAGCUGGCAAAACAAGUCCCCAUUUAAAUACUAAGCUUACUACCCUAAUGACUGUGAAGUACUUGUUCCCUGGAACUGCACCUGUUCAGCAUGACACCCUGCUUUGCUGGCGAUGUCACAUGCAGCACGGACUAUAAUUGGAGAAUGAAACCUGUCUGUGGGGGCAAGGUAUGUUCCAUUCUUUUUCAGCAGUUCAUGGUUUGCUAAGGUUCUUCAUAUUCAUUUUUCUAC